AGCGAACGCUGGCGGCAGGCCUAACACAUGCAAGUCGAACGAACCCUUCGGGGUUAGUGGCGGACGGGUGAGUAACACGUGGGAACGUGCCUUUAGGUUCGGAAUAACUCAGGGAAACUUGUGCUAAUACCGAAUGUGCCCUUCGGGGGAAAGAUUUAUCGCCUUUAGAGCGGCCCGCGUCUGAUUAGCUAGUUGGUGAGGUAAUGGCUCACCAAGGCUACGAUCAGUAGCUGGUCUGAGAGGAUGACCAGCCAAAUUGGGACUGAGACACGGCCCAAACUCCUACGGGAGGCAGCAGUGGGGAAUCUUGCGCAAUGGGCGAAAGCCUGACGCAGCCAUGCCGCGUGGAUGAUGAAGGUCUUAGGAUUGUAAAAUCCUUUCACCGGUGAAGAUAAUGACUGUAGCCGGAGAAGAAGCCCCGGCUAACUUCGUGCCAGCCGCCGCCGUAA
rnacentral:rRNA from 1 species